UUAAUUUGAGAGUUUGAUCCUGGCUCAGGACGAACGCUGGCGGCGUGCCUAAUACAUGCAAGUCGAACGAACUCUGGUAUUGAUUGGUGCUUGCAUCAUGAUUUACAUUUGAGUGAGUGGCGAACUGGUGAGUAACACGUGGGAAACCUGCCCAGAAGCGGGGGAUAACACCUGGAAACAGAUGCUAAUACCGCAUAACAACUUGGACCGCAUGGUCCGAGUUUGAAAGAUGGCUUCGGCUAUCACUUUUGGAUGGUCCCGCGGCGUAUUAGCUAGAUGGUGGGGUAACGGCUCACCAUGGCAAUGAUACGUAGCCGACCUGAGAGGGUAAUCGGCCACAUUGGGACUGAGACACGGCCCAAACUCCUACGGGAGGCAGCAGUAGGGAAUCUUCCACAAUGGACGAAAGUCUGAUGGAGCAACGCCGCGUGAGUGAAGAAGGGUUUCGGCUCGUAAAACUCUGUUGUUAAAGAAGAACAUAUCUGAGAGUAACUGUUCAGGUAUUGACGGUAUUUAACCAGAAAGCCACGGCUAACUACGUGCCAGCAGCCGCGGUAAUACGUAGGUGGCAAGCGUUGUCCGGAUUUAUUGGGCGUAAAGCGAGCGCAGGCGGUUUUUUAAGUCUGAUGUGAAAGCCUUCGGCUCAACCGAAGAAGUGCAUCGGAAACUGGGAAACUUGAGUGCAGAAGAGGACAGUGGAACUCCAUGUGUAGCGGUGAAAUGCGUAGAUAUAUGGAAGAACACCAGUGGCGAAGGCGGCUGUCUGGUCUGUAACUGACGCUGAGGCUCGAAAGUAUGGGUAGCAAACAGGAUUAGAUACCCUGGUAGUCCAUACCGUAAACGAUGAAUGCUAAGUGUUGGAGGGUUUCCGCCCUUCAGUGCUGCAGCUAACGCAUUAAGCAUUCCGCCUGGGGAGUACGGCCGCAAGGCUGAAACUCAAAGGAAUUGACGGGGGCCCGCACAAGCGGUGGAGCAUGUGGUUUAAUUCGAAGCUACGCGAAGAACCUUACCAGGUCUUGACAUACUAUGCAAAUCUAAGAGAUUAGACGUUCCCUUCGGGGACAUGGAUACAGGUGGUGCAUGGUUGUCGUCAGCUCGUGUCGUGAGAUGUUGGGUUAAGUCCCGCAACGAGCGCAACCCUUAUUAUCAGUUGCCAGCAUUAAGUUGGGCACUCUGGUGAGACUGCCGGUGACAAACCGGAGGAAGGUGGGGAUGACGUCAAAUCAUCAUGCCCCUUAUGACCUGGGCUACACACGUGCUACAAUGGAUGGUACAACGAGUUGCGAACUCGUGAGAGCAAGCUAAUCUCUUAAAGCCAUUCUCAGUUCGGAUUGUAGGCUGCAACUCGCCUACAUGAAGUCGGAAUCGCUAGUAAUCGCGGAUCAGCAUGCCGCGGUGAAUACGUUCCCGGGCCUUGUACACACCGCCCGUCACACCAUGAGAGUUUGUAACACCCAAAGUCGGUGGGGUAACCUUUUAGGAACCAGCCGCCUAAGGUGGGACAGAUGAUUAGGGUGAAGUCGUAACAAGGUAGCCGUAGGAGAACCUGCGGCUGGAUCACCUCCUUUCUAAGGAA
rnacentral:rRNA from 2 species